CCUACGGGUGGCAGCAGUGAGGAAUAUUGGUCAAUGGGCGCGAGCCUGAACCAGCCAAGUAGCGUGAAGGAUGACUGCCCUACGGGUUGUAAACUUCUUUUAUAAAGGAAUAAAGUGAGGCACGUGUGCCUUUUUGUAUGUACUUUAUGAAUAAGGAUCGGCUUACUCCGUGCCAGCAGCCGCGGUAAUAAGGAGGAUCCGAGCGUUAUCCGGAUUUAUUGGGUUUAAAGGGAGCGUAGAUGGGUUGUUAAGUCAGUUGUGAAAGUUUGCGGCUCAACCGUAAAAUUGCAAUUGAUACUGGCAGCCUUGAGUAGAGUUGAGGUAGGCGGAAUGCGUGGUGUAGCGGUGAAAUGCUUAGAUAUCACGAAGAACUCCGAUUGCGAAGGCAGCUUACUAAACUGCCACUGACGUUGAUGCACGAAAGUGUGGGUAUCAAACAGGAUUAGAUACCCCUGUAGUC
rnacentral:rRNA from 1 species